rnacentral:rRNA from 1 species
AUUUGACCUCGGUUCAAGCAGGAAUACCCGCUGAACUUAAGCAUAUCAAUAAGCGGAGGAAAAGAAACCAACAGGGAUUGCCCCAGUAACGGCGAGUGAAGCGGCAAAGGCCCAAAUUUGAAAUCGCGCCCCUUUGGGGAUCGAGUUGUAAUUUGUAGAGGGUGCUUCGGCGUUGGCGCCGGGCCAAGUCCCUUGGAACAGGGCGCCUGAGAGGGUGAGAGCCCCGUACCUGCCCGGGUCGCCUCCGCCGCCAGAAGCCCCUUCGACGAGUCGGGCUGUUUGGGAAUGCAGCUCCAAGCGGGAGGUAAAUUCCUUCUAAGGCUAAAUACCGGCCGGAGNCCGAUAGCGAACAAGUAGAGUGAUCGAAAGAUGAAAAGCACUUUGGAAAGAGAGUCAAACAGCACGUGAAAUUGUUGAAAGGGAAGCUCUUGCCGCCAGACCGGCCGCGGUCGUCGCAUCCACGUCCCCGUAUGUGGUGUACCCGUCCGCGGUGGGCCAGCNCCGGUUCGAGCGGUCGGACAAAGGCUCGGGGAAUGUGGCCCCUCUCGAGGGGUGUUAUAGCCCUGGGUGCAAUGCGGCCAGCUCGGACNGAGGCACGCGUUCGUAGGG